GGGAGGUGGAAGAGCUGGGGAUUGAGAAUUGGGGAAGCCAGCGACUGUCCAGCCGCCGAACCCUGGUCACACAGAGCCUUGGGAGGACAGGCGAGCCCAGGAGAAAAUGGUGCCGGACCCUGCGGCGGCCACGGGGUCCCCAACCUUCGUGCUGCCGAUGAGG